CAUCACAGGAGAAUGGCAGACGUUUGAUGAACUGCAAACAAAGAUGAGGAACAUCAUCCGUGCUGCCAUUUGAGAACAACUAAAUUAGGUACUUCAAUCAAAGAUUCGUUCUACUAUAAACUCCAGUUACUUUCCACCUGCCAAAUUGGCUGGCCAAGCCUCAGAAAGUACGGAAAUAGCACAGCAUUUACAGAAUUCAGUGUAUUCUCUGCAAAAGGGGAGGGACUCCGGUAUUUUGUUAAGAUGACAAUGCAACCAUGAGAUGGAGAGUUCUACUUCCAGUUAUUAAUUACCCAGCAUGUUUCACACAACUAAUCAGCUUUGCAUGGAGAGCAUCCUUUCCACAAAUACAAUAUUAUUAUGUAGACACUGUGUGUCAGACACUGUUCCGAAUACUUUGCAUAACCUCUUUUAACCCUCACAACAUCCGUAUAAGAGCACAGGCCUGAUGGAAGAAACUAACUACUGGGAUAAAAUUGCUCCAACCUGAUGUAAUUUAUUGGUGGAUGGUUAAAUCUUAGCUACACAUGAGUAUAAAAUCGGCCCUU